GAUGAAGAACGCAGCGAAAUGCGAUAAGUAAUGUGAAUUGCAGAAUUCAGUGAAUCAUCGAAUCUUUGGACGCACAUUGCGCCCGCCAGUAUUCUGGCGGGCAUGCCUGUUCGAGCGUCAUUACAACCCUCAGGCCCCCGGGCCUGGCGUUGGGGAUCGGCGGAGCCCCCCGUGGGCACACGCCGUCCCCCAAAUACAGUGGCGGUCCCGCCGCAGCUUCCAUCGCGUAGUAGCUAACACCUCGCGACUGGAGAGCGGCGCGGCCACGCCGUAAAACACCCAACUCUUCUGAAGUUGACCUCGAAUCAGGUAGGAAUACCCGCUGAACUUAAGCAUAUCAAUAAGCGGAGGA
rnacentral:misc_RNA from 1 species